GAUGAACGCUAGCUACAGGCUUAACACAUGCAAGUCGAGGGGAAACGAUAUUGGAAGCUUGCUUCCGAUAGGCGUCGACUGGCGCACGGGUGAGUAACGCGUAUCCAACCUGCCCAUCACUUGGGGAUAACCUUGCGAAAGUAAGACUAAUACCCAAUGAUAUCUCUAGAAGACAUCUGAAAGGGAUUAAAGAUUUAUCGGUGAUGGAUGGGGAUGCGUCUGAUUAGCUUGUUGGCGGGGUAACGGCCCACCAAGGGGACGAUCAGUAGGGGUUCGGAGAGGAAGGUCCCCCACAUUGGAACUGAGACACGGUCCAAACUCCUACGGGAGGCAGCAGUGAGGAAUAUUGGUCAAUGGGCGAGAGCCUGAACCAGCCAAGUAGCGUGCAGGAUGACGGCCCUAUGGGUUGUAAACUGCUUUUAUAAGGGAAUAAAGUGGGAGUCGUGACUCCUUUUGCAUGUACCUUAUGAAUAAGGACCGGCUAAUUCCGUGCCAGCCGCCGCCGUAA
rnacentral:rRNA from 1 species